UGCUUAAGAUUGGCUAAGGAAUGAAACUGAAAACUCAAUUGAUGGUGAAAUUGAGUAUGAAACUGGAGAGAUUGAUAAAGUUGACUUGUAAUUUUCAAAGAUUAGUUUGGAGCCCGUGAUUGAUCAAUAGAAGGUGGAAGAGUUCUACUUAUUAAGGGUUGAAUGAAUUGAAGAUUUGAAGGAAUUGAAG